AAAUUGAAGAGUUUGAUCAUGGCUCAGAUUGAACGCUGGCGGCAGGCCUAACACAUGCAAGUCGAGCGGUAGCACAGAGAGCUUGCUCUCGGGUGACGAGCGGCGGACGGGUGAGUAAUGUCUGGGAAACUGCCUGAUGGAGGGGGAUAACUACUGGAAACGGUAGCUAAUACCGCAUAACGUCGCAAGACCAAAGUGGGGGACCUUCGGGCCUCAUGCCAUCAGAUGUGCCCAGAUGGGAUUAGCUAGUAGGUGGGGUAACGGCUCACCUAGGCGACGAUCCCUAGCUGGUCUGAGAGGAUGACCAGCCACACUGGAACUGAGACACGGUCCAGACUCCUACGGGAGGCAGCAGUGGGGAAUAUUGCACAAUGGGCGCAAGCCUGAUGCAGCCAUGCCGCGUGUGUGAAGAAGGCCUUCGGGUUGUAAAGCACUUUCAGCGGGGAGGAAGGCGUUAAGGUUAAUAACCUUGGCGAUUGACGUUACCCGCAGAAGAAGCACCGGCUAACUCCGUGCCAGCAGCCGCGGUAAUACGGAGGGUGCAAGCGUUAAUCGGAAUUACUGGGCGUAAAGCGCACGCAGGCGGUCUGUCAAGUCGGAUGUGAAAUCCCCGGGCUCAACCUGGGAACUGCAUUCGAAACUGGCAGGCUAGAGUCUUGUAGAGGGGGGUAGAAUUCCAGGUGUAGCGGUGAAAUGCGUAGAGAUCUGGAGGAAUACCGGUGGCGAAGGCGGCCCCCUGGACAAAGACUGACGCUCAGGUGCGAAAGCGUGGGGAGCAAACAGGAUUAGAUACCCUGGUAGUCCACGCCGUAAACGAUGUCGAUUUGGAGGUUGUGCCCUUGAGGCGUGGCUUCCGGAGCUAACGCGUUAAAUCGACCGCCUGGGGAGUACGGCCGCAAGGUUAAAACUCAAAUGAAUUGACGGGGGCCCGCACAAGCGGUGGAGCAUGUGGUUUAAUUCGAUGCAACGCGAAGAACCUUACCUGGUCUUGACAUCCACAGAACUUUCCAGAGAUGGAUUGGUGCCUUCGGGAACUGUGAGACAGGUGCUGCAUGGCUGUCGUCAGCUCGUGUUGUGAAAUGUUGGGUUAAGUCCCGCAACGAGCGCAACCCUUAUCCUUUGUUGCCAGCGGUCCGGCCGGGAACUCAAAGGAGACUGCCAGUGAUAAACUGGAGGAAGGUGGGGAUGACGUCAAGUCAUCAUGGCCCUUACGACCAGGGCUACACACGUGCUACAAUGGCAUAUACAAAGAGAAGCGACCUCGCGAGAGCAAGCGGACCUCAUAAAGUAUGUCGUAGUCCGGAUUGGAGUCUGCAACUCGACUCCAUGAAGUCGGAAUCGCUAGUAAUCGUAGAUCAGAAUGCUACGGUGAAUACGUUCCCGGGCCUUGUACACACCGCCCGUCACACCAUGGGAGUGGGUUGCAAAAGAAGUAGGUAGCUUAACCUUCGGGAGGGCGCUUACCACUUUGUGAUUCAUGACUGGGGUGAAGUCGUAACAAGGUAACCGUAGGGGAACCUGCGGUUGGAUCACCUCCUUACC
rnacentral:rRNA from 2 species